UACGUAGGGGGCGAGCGUUGUCCGAAGUUACUGGGCGUAAAGCGCGCGUAGGCGGUCUGUCGCGUCUGCUGUGAAAACUCGGGGCUUAACCCCGGGCCUGCAGUGGGUACGGGCAGACUAGAGUGCGGUAGGGGAGACUGGAAUUCCUGGUGUAGCGGUGAAAUGCGCAGAUAUCAGGAGGAACACCGGUGGCGAAGGCGGGUCUCUGGGCCGUAACUGACGCUGAGGAGCGAAAGCAUGGGGAGCGAACAGG
rnacentral:rRNA from 1 species